AAUAAGUGCAUUUUUGCACUGUUUAUUUUCCAUGUUUGAUCGCCCGUUUUAUUUUUUUUUAUGAUUGGUAUUUUUAUUGUUAUUAGAUGAUAAAACAUGAAUAGUGCUUUAUGUAUGACUAUUCUUUAAAUUUUUUUAUAAAAUUUUUAAAUAAAACGAACGGUCAAACGUUUGACAUAGAAAUACAUAAAUGCAGUUAUA
rnacentral:pre_miRNA from 1 species